UGCAGAAUGCCACCUUCCUCCGUGCCAACUUGCUACGGAGGCUUGCGGUGGCAAAGCCAUCCUGCUGGGCUGGCAGCUCCUGCAAGCGUAUGCCUGCCUCUCUCUGACCUGUGCUGGCAUCCUGUUUGAUGUGGCUGACGGUGAUGAGGCUGAAGGGACACGGGGGGUCCAGGGAACAAAUAAAUCUCUCCUCCCCCGAUCAGAUGUCAGGCCUGAACUCCGUUGCAAUCUGCGUUCUCAUGAGCGAUAAACCUUCCGGGUCUGGGGCCACUCCGUCAACGAAAUCAAAGCUCCACAAAUCAUGGAUCUCAGGAGAAGUAGGUGAAAACUCACAGUUGAGGCUCACCGUUGGAUCAAGUGCAACAGCUGUCUAAAGGUACGCAGGCAGGAAUCAGUGUAGCCAAACGCUGGACAAUUUAUGCU
rnacentral:lncRNA from 12 species